UCAUGCCCGACCUGACUUGAUGACUUCUUAAGAUUCAGUGAAGCCUGACUCAUUGCUCCAGCUGGAGAGUUGAUUAUGACACAAUGCCUGCCUUGAAGAGGAGUCUUGGAUGUGUGUUUAGCCUGUUGGUUUUAACUGCUGCCCAUUGCAGAACGUCUGGUCAAGUCCCUGAAACAGUCACACUGGAGUCCACUGAGGGACGACGGCUGCCGAGCCUGCGGUCUGUACCCUGCUAAGUGGGCCUGAUCAAUGAGCAGCAAGGCUGUAUCUCCUUGCAGCAAGCUCCCUCUGCAUGUGAAUGUCUCCAUGCCAGAGUUCAAAAUGCACAGUGAAAUGAAGCAGCUUCUCUUAUUUUGACCUUUCCUUGAAUCUCUCUAAAUGCAUCCUUGAUCGUUAACAUUCAAGGCUUGCUUUUCCAAGUUGUCUCUCCUUCCCUCCACACCCAUCAGGGCUGAAUGGGGAGGCUCCCAUCCACUUUCCUGUGGCCUCUUCCAUGAGGCUCUUGAGCGCUAUCCAGUCCUGGCUUAUAGUACCUUAAAAGUCAACCUCUAUGUAGAUAUGUAGCUACAUCAUGGAUGUUUAGGAAAUUUGAAAACAUUUCCUCUGUAGAUAAAUUCUAGAUUUCAAGACUAUUGUCUUGCUGCGGUCUCAAAAAUUCUGUUCCACUUGUCAAACGCUGGAUAUAGACUCCGCAUUCUUGUGGUAAUAAUCCCAAACCUCCCUAAUAUAAAUGGACGUCUCUGGCAAAACAGAGAGAAAUACAAACAAGAAAAGCACACUGAUAGAUUUUAAAAUAUAUAUUAUUCUCAUGCGUUAUUUCUUAUUUCCAGAAAGGCAGUGUUUUAUUCGGUAAGGAGGUUUCAUAGCACUAUAUUAUCAAUACUGUGUUUUGUGUGGUGGGAGUUAAACUGGGUUUUAUGUGCUGGCCUAGGAGUGUGAUCAUUAUAAAUAACAUGAUUUCUAUGG
rnacentral:lncRNA from 10 species